rnacentral:rRNA from 1 species
GGUCCUACGGGGCGCAGCAGUGGGGAAUAUUGCACAAUGGGGGAAACCCUGAUGCAGCGACGCCGCGUGAGUGAAGAAGUAAUUCGUUAUGUAAAGCUCUAUCAGCAGGGAAGAAAAUGACGGUACCUGAGUAAGAAGCCCCGGCUAACUACGUGCCAGCAGCCGCGGUAAUACGUAGGGGGCAAGCGUUAUCCGGAUUUACUGAGUGUAAAGGGAGCGCAGGCGGCACGGCAAGCCUGAUGUGAAAGCCCGCGGCCCAACCGCGGGACUGCAUUGGGAACUACCGGGCUGGAGUGCCGGAGAGG